rnacentral:rRNA from 1 species
CAACGCGAAGAACCUUACCAGGUCUUGACAUCCCCUGACAACCCAAGAGAUUGGGCGUUCCCCUUCGGGGGACAGGGUGACAGGUGGUGCAUGGUUGUCGUCAGCUCGUGUCGUGAGAUGUUGGGUUAAGUCCCGCAACGAGCGCAACCCUCGCCUCUAGUUGCCAGCAUUCGGUUGGGCACUCUAGAGGGACUGCCGGCGACAAGUCGGAGGAAGUGGGGAUGACGUCAAAUCAUCAUGCCCCUUAUGACCUGGGCUACACACGUGCUACAAUGGGCGGUACAAAGGGCUGCGAACCCGCGAGGGGGAGCGAAUCCCAAAAAGCCGCUCUCAGUUCGGAUUGCAGGCUGCAACUCGCCUGCAUGAAGCCGGAAUCGCUAGUAAUCGCGGAUCAGCAUGCCGCGGUGAAUACGUUCCCGGGCCUU